rnacentral:rRNA from 1 species
CGGCAGCGCGGGGCAACCUGGCGGCGAGUGGCGAACGGGUGAGUAAUAUAUCGGAACGUACCCUAGAGUGGGGGAUAACGUAGCGAAAGUUACGCUAAUACCGCAUACGAUCUAWGGAUGAAAGUGGGGGAUUCGCAAGAACCUCAUGCUCGUGGAGCGGCCGAUAUCUGAUUAGCUAGUUGGUAGGGUAAAAGCCUACCAAGGCAUCGAUCAGUAGCUGGUCUGAGAGGACGACCAGCCACACUGGAACUGAGACACGGUCCAGACUCCUACGGGAGGCAGCAGUGGGGAAUUUUGGACAAUGGGCGAAAGCCUGAUCCAGCAAUGCCGCGUGAGUGAAGAAGGCCUUCGGGUUGUAAAGCUCUUUUGUCAGGGAAGAAACGGUGGACUCUAAUACAGGCCACUAAUGACGGUACCUGAAGAAUAAGCACCGGCUAACUACGUGCCAGCAGCCGCGGUAAUACGUAGGGUGCAAGCGUUAAUCGGAAUUACUGGGCGUAAAGCGUGCGCAGGCGGUUUUGUAAGUCUGACGUGAAAUCCCCGGGCUCAACCUGGGAAUUGCGUUGGAGACUGCAAGGCUAGAGUUUGGCAGAGGGGGGUAGAAUUCCACGUGUAGCAGUGAAAUGCGUAGAUAUGUGGAGGAACACCGAUGGCGA